UUUCUUUUAAUAUUUCUUUUUUCCACCAAAAAAUGUUCAAAAAUUUCCCAAAAGUGUUGAGAACGUGGACACCAGAAGUUUCACUGUGAACGUAUUUUUUUCCUCCAUAUUUUCAAACUUUAAAACGGUUCAGUUUGACCCCCUGGGCAACACAAGGGUUAAAUUAAAAAAAAAAUUUAAAGAUGAAUGACUAUGAAACAAUAGUAAAUAAAUGUUGUCAUGACUAGUCCAUCUGCAGUGUACCAGCAGAUGUGGAUAGGUGCUACUGGUCAGCUGCACCUGGUGAGGUGUGUCCAGGUGACACUGACCAGACGUGUUACUAUAAAAGCAGAGAAACAGACCAUAAACUGCCCUCGCUAAUAGAAGCCCUCUGAACUGAUUUGAAGUGAAGACCGGACCAGACAUGGGGGGAAAGAGCAGCAUCCAGCUCACACUCUUGCUCCUUCUCAUUGGUGCUCUCUGCUUAGAAGCACGACCACAAUACCUAUUUUACCCUAUGUUUGAUCUGAAACUGAACUGGACAGAGGCCAGAUUGUUUUGCCAGAGAAAUUUCACUGACAUGGUCGGGUGGAACACAGCGUCCAGAGCUGAUCUGACUGACCUUAUGCGCAGCAAUGAAGUUGCCGAGAUCUGGAUUGGUGACCAUGGAUUUUCUAUGGGAGCAUCAGGCAAUUCCGAAAGCAUGGCAUCAGAAGAGCAAGUCAGAGAAGACUGCGUCAUUUUUAUAGAUCGGCCAGGACAAGAACAGGCCUAUGUUGAGUGCCACGAGGAGUUUUCCUUCGUCUGCUAUGAAGACAGCGUGGUGAUGAUAAAUGAGAACAAGACAUGGGAGGACGCCCUGAAACACUGCAGAGAAAUGAAACCAUCCUGUGUCGACGAUAAGGGGAACCUGACGCAUUGCUAUGACCUGCUGAGCCUGCCAGACCCGUCUGACUACGACUUUGUCAUGUACAACAAGCUCUACACAGCAACCACUGAUGAGGUUUGGACAGGCCUCCGCUUUCUGGGAGGAGAGUGGUGGUGGCUAAAUGGAGAGACGGUAGGAGACCAUGAGAUACUGCCAGAGUGUCCUCCCCAGUGGAAGCGCUGUGGGAGCAUUUCCAAAUAUGCUCCAAACCACUCCGUGUACAGGGACUGUUCAGAAAGAAAAAAAAUCAUGUGCAAAAGGCUGCAAAUGGUGACCAAUAAUGGAUGACUUAAUGCUGUUUUGUGUGCAGGUUAACAGAUUAAGAUCUCUCUAUUGUUUUUUGUGAUAUGUCUAAUCAUUUCUGAAAACAGAUGUUUAGAUACUCUACCACACAGAGAACAGGAAGAUGCCAUCUGACUCUCUUAUCUUUGCAACAAACAAAUAUUUGGCAGCAA